rnacentral:rRNA from 1 species
GUGAACCUGCGGAAGGAUCAUUGUCGAAACCUGCAAGUCAGACCGCGAACACGUGUUUAACCUCGUCGGGGCUCCGGCGCGGGGGCGCGUCCCCCCUCCUGUAUGUCAAAACGACUCUCGGCAACGGAUAUCUCGGCUCUCGCAUCGAUGAAGAACGUAGCGAAAUGCGAUACUUGGUGUGAAUUGCAGAAUCCCGUGAACCAUCGAGUCUUUGAACGCAAGUUGCGCCCGAAGCCUUCGGGCCGAGGGCACGCCUGCCUGGGCGUCACGCAUCGCGUCGCCCCCCUCCCCCGCUCCUACGGAGAGGGCGGGGCGGGGGCGGAGACUGGCCUCCCGUGCGCCCCCGUCGCGCGGCCGGCCCAAAUGCGAUCCCCCGGCGACGCGCGUCGCGACCAGUGGUGGUUGAACCGUCAACUCGCGUGCUGUCAGUCGUGCCCCACGGCGUCGUCCGGUCGGGCAUCACGAACGACCCAAUCAGCGCUCGGCGCUUUCGACCGCGACCCCAGGUCAGGCGGGAUUACCCG